UGCAAGUCGAACGAACCUUCGGGUUAGUGGCGGACGGGUGAGUAACGCGUGAGAAUCUGCCCUCAGGAGGGGGAUAACAGCUGGAAACGGCUGCUAAUACCCCAUACGCCGCGAGGUGAAAUGAAUUUCGCCUGAGGAUGAGCUCGCGUCUGAUUAGCUAGUUGGUGUGGGUAAUGGCUCACCAAGGCAUCGAUCAGUAGCUGGUCUGAGAGGAUGAUCAGCCACACUGGGACUGAGACACGGCCCAGACUCCUACGGGAGGCAGCAGUGGGGAAUUUUCCGCAAUGGGCGAAAGCCUGACGGAGCAACGCCGCGUGAGGGAUGAAGGCCUCUGGGCUGUAAACCUCUUUUAUCAAGGAAGAAGAUCUGACGGUACUUGAUGAAUAAGCCACGGCUAAUUCCGUGCCAGCAGCCGCGGUAAUACGGGAGUGGCAAGCGUUAUCCGGAAUUAUUGGGCGUAAAGCGUCCGCAGGCGGCCCUCCAAGUCUGCUGUUAAAAAGUGGAGCUUAACUCCAUCAUGGCAGUGGAAACUGAGGGGCUUGAGUGUGGUAGGGGCAGAGGGAAUUCCCGGUGUAGUGGUGAAAUGCGUAGAUAUCGGGAAGAACACCAGUGGCGAAGGCGCUCUGCUGGGCCAUCACUGACGCUCAUGGACGAAAGCCAGGGGAGCGAAAGGGAUUAGAUACCCCUGUAGUCCUGGCCGUAAACGAUGAACACUAGGUGUCGGGGGAAUCGACCCCCUCGGUGUCGUAGCCAACGCGUUAAGUGUUCCGCCUGGGGAGUACGCACGCAAGUGUGAAACUCAAAGGAAUUGACGGGGGCCCGCACAAGCGGUGGAGUAUGUGGCUUAAUUCGAUGCAACGCGAAGAACCUUACCAGGGUUUGACAUCCUGCGAAUCUCUUGGAAACGAGAGAGUGCCUUCGGGAGCGCAGUGACUGGUGGUGCAUGGCUGUCGUCAGCUCGUGUC
rnacentral:rRNA from 1 species